rnacentral:rRNA from 1 species
AUUGAACGCUGGCGGCAGGCCUAACACAUGCAAGUCGAGCGGAUGAAGGGAGCUUGCUCCUGGAUUCAGCGGCGGACGGGUGAGUAACGCCUAGGAAUCUGCCUGGUAGUGGGGGAUAACGUCCGGAAACGGGCGCUAAUACCGCAUACGUCCUGAGGGAGAAAGUGGGGGAUCUUCGGACCUCACGCUAUCAGAUGAGCCUAGGUCGGAUUAGCUAGUUGGUGGGGUAAAGGCCUACCAAGGCGACGAUCCGUAACUGGUCUGAGAGGAUGAUCAGUCACACUGGAACUGAGACACGGUCCAGACUCCUACGGGAGGCAGCAGUGGGGAAUAUUGGACAAUGGGCGAAAGCCUGAUCCAGCCAUGCCGCGUGUGAAGAAGGUCUUCGGAUUGUAAAGCACUUUAAGUUGGGAGGAAGGGCAGUAAGUUAAUACCUUGCUGUUUUGACGUUACCAACAGAAUAAGCACCGGCUAACUUCGUG